rnacentral:rRNA from 1 species
AACCCUUGACAUGGGACGUAUGAGCAUCAGAGAUGGUGUUCUUCACUUCGGGUGGCGUCCACAC